CGAGACAGCAACUGGACGGCACAGUGACAGCACGACGUGCGGCACGUCAAGGGCACGUUGUGCCGGCACGUGCUGUUAUCUGGGUUGUCGAGACUAUAUAUAUCACUAUAUAUACUAUACUGAUACGCCGCGUUCCUGAUAUCCCGCCUUUUCUGCAGUGUUCCGUCUUUCCGUGUUCGGCCAUAUUGAAAUAUAAUGUUUUGCUGAUAUCAACGAUCAAAAAUGGAAUGCUUUCAUUUAUAAUUAAUAUAAUUAAUUAUUUUUUAAAAGUCAGACAAAAUGCCUGUAGCAUAUGUCAAGUUUAUAGCUGGGCCUAUGAAUGGCAAAAAAACUAUUGUAGAUAUUAACAAAAUAAAAGAUUUUAACCAGAAGACACACAAAAACAAUGUAAAAUAUAAAAUCAAAUAUUAUAAUCAUGUGUGUAAAGGAGUUAUUUUGCUUCAAGCAAAUUCUAAAGAAGAGAUGGAAAGAGUUAUUGCCAGUAAAGAUCCUCGGAGAAUAUCUAACCUACCCAGCAAACUGCUAGUAUCAGCAUCUGAGAAUGAUUCCGAUGUAGAAAAUAAAUCAUCCACAAGUAAUGUACAAGCAAGCAACGUCAGUAAGAAUUCAUUGCUAGAAAGGCGCUUGGAAAUAAAACUUAAAAGAUUGCAGUGAUAAUGACCACUCAAAGUCACAAACAGCCGAUACUUCUGAUGAUUUACUGAAGCAGCUAGAGAUGAGAUUAGAAAAUUAGCCAAUGGUAAAGAGAGUACCAAUGAUGGCUACGACAGUAAUUUUCCAUCUUUUCUGAGAACCAGAACUACUGCCAACAUCCGAAGGGUUCAUAUUGGUAAUGAUGAGUGGAUACCAGAAAUAGCAUAUAACAGAAUAAAUACCAAAUCAGCAACUGCUCGUCAAUUAGCUGGUAAUAUUCUAAUUGCCGUUUUCGAUGAAGAAAUUCUUCUCACAAGUACCAUUACGGGAAAUGAGAGUAGCAAAAAAGGAAAAGGCAACAGAAACUCUGUUAAAAAAUUGGACGAAAAAAAAAUCAACGCAUGUGAAAAGUUAAAUGAACAUUUACUAGAAAAGCUUUUUUCAAAGUUUAAGACUACUAAAAAGGUUAAAGGAAAACUAGUUAAAGUCAAUCUUGAGGAUGAGAAAGGACUGUUUAACCAUUAUGCGCAAAAAAAAAUUGCUGACUUAAAAGCCGUCAAGGAAGAGUCAACAAGUGGAACCAAAA